CCACUUAUUUUAUUUGAAAUGGCCACUGCUGUAAAAAAUAUAUAAACAAAAUGUUGUAUCUACCAAUUAACAUCUUUUUCUUAACGACUAAAAUGCGAUUCACUAUGAAUAUUCCAAAAACACAGUUUAAUUUUUUUAAAGGAUAGAUACUUAAGUGUACCUACAAAAAAAAAGUAAAAUUUUAUCAAUAUACAACUGUCAUAGUGUAAUUAAUAAAAUAUGUAUCGAGUCGUCUUUUGCUGUAUAUCAAUUCAAUAUAAGCACAGCUAAUUUUAGGCUAUUACCUAUAAUGUUUAUGAAAUUUUCAAGUCUAAAGUCCGCUCUUCACUCGUACGCGAAUUGGUACAUUCAUGUACGAGUGACGCGUGACGCUUAUUCGCAUCUAAAAUAGAAGAUAUCGUAAGUACACAUUUUUAAGUCAAAAUUAAUUUUUACUUUUUUUUAAGUAAUUAAUUUUAAAAUAAAAUAUAUUUUUGGAAUGUUCAUGAAAACACUUUUAUGUUGAUUCAAAAACGUAGUUUAACUCUUUAAACCAUAAUUACAAAGAAAAAUACAUGCGCGAAAAAUAAUGCAGGCUUACCUAAAGAAAAAAAAAUUAUAAAACAUUAAGUUUUUAAAAUAUUCUUUUACAUAAAGUAAAGUUUUCGUAAAGUUUCUUCAUAUUAUUUUAAAUUAAAAAAAAAACAUUCAAAAUGAAAAUGAUAAUAAAAACUACGUUUUCAAAAAUAUUUUUUUCUUAAACAAUCUUUACAAUAAUUCACAGCUUUGGUCUAAUAAGAGCGCACAUUUAUAAAAUAUAAACCUUUUUUCAUCUCUCAUAAUAUAAAUAUCGAUUUUUUUUACAUUUAAUCACAAUUUUGAUACGAAAGAUUCGAAAAAAAAACAACGAAAUUAUAAGAAUAACAAAAAUGUGCACGCUCCGUUUCAAAAUAUCUACCAUCCCGCGUUUCUAAUAAUAUCUUAUAAAUUACGGUAAAUAAUUUUUAUACUAACAAAAUUUUUCGAAAAAAAACCGCUAGCGUUUUAUCUACACAUGUGCGUAAAAAAUUUCCCAUAAAAUUGUACUCGAAUAUUAAAGUUACGGUUUUACACCUACAACGAAAAAAAAUGCACAAAAAUUCGGAAAAAUAUUACAAUACACUUAGAGCACCAAAAAAAAAACAUUUAAUAUUAAAAAAGUUAUUUUCGUUAAGAUUCUAUAAUGACUAAAAUAUAGUUCAAAAUAAUACGCGAUUUUAGUAUACGAUAACUCCAAAUAGGAAGAAGGAAAUAAUUGUUGAUUUUUGUACAGUAAAAUAUUAAUUGGCCUUUAUUCGCGCCGAACCAGCACAAUGCACUUCGAUAAAUAUAUGCAAGUAUGUAUAUUACUUUUAUUUACAUAUUUUUAUAAACAAAUAAAUCAUUUCACUUUUUAUAUUUUUACAAUUGAUUUUGUAAAAAUCUGUAAAUAAAAGUAAGCAGCCUUCAUCUUUUUGGAGUGACGUAUAAUAAAUAAUCGACCAUUUUAAUAAAAUUGCAUGAUUUUUUUAUUAAGGCUCACACACAUUUCACGGUCCGUGCCACAACGAAAUCAAUUGCUAAAAUUCGCAUCAGAUCUUCACGAACGUACCCUCUUUAUGGAACACUACAUAAUAUUAUGUGUGAGAUCUACUUUUGUCGCUCAUACAAAACGUACGAAACAAAUAAGCGGUGCUUUGCGUUGCGAUACCGACCGCUGUGGUUAGCGCUUAGCUUUAUCAUGCAUUUUAGUUAGAAAACUUUGGCAAGAAUUUAUUCUAUAUAAUAUCGAAAUUAACAAAACAUUGAUUGUGACAAAAACAAAAAAAAAAUACGUCUUACACUACGCCUUCGUUAAUAAUUGCCAAGUAAAUUCGAUAAAAUAUCACUUUCCUAAACAUUUUAUCCUCCUCCAUAGCGGUUUCAUCAAAAUCGACACAGCACUAUAAGUCUCCACUUAACUAUUGCAGAAAUAAAUGGAACCUAGGUAUAUUCUAUUUACUACUAACAGCUAUUUCUUCUCAUCAUUUGCUGUAUCGAAAAUGAUGAAGUUGAAAGAUUGCGAAUAUAUCGAAAUUAAUGGUAACUAUAAGGUUCCACGUAUAAAUAGAUUUGAGAUAUAAAAAACGAAACUAUACUAUAAAUCGAUAUUGUAAACAUAACGAAAAUACGAAGGUCUUCACUCACUACAUAGUGCCGCAAAUAUCGGAACGUCGUACGAUGCAUGAGUUGAGAGGUUUUAAAGUGUAUUACUCAUAAUACCAAGACUAGAGAGUCAAGGCGGUUGCGGAGCGUACUUUGACCUUUUCUCAGACUUAUCAAAACAGAGUUAAAACGAGACAGAUUUAUACAGAUGUUAUAGUCCAAAGUGGAAAUGCCGGCACAUCGCGAAUAACCUAGCUAAGCAAUCUUCAGAAAUGCCUACUUAUCAACUUUAUUUUCUUUUUAAAAACAAAUGAAUAUGCUUUUAUUGCUUUUCAUAUUUUAUAUUGUUAACAAACAAAAAUUUCAAAAACAUAGUUUUAUCCAAAGUCUAAACAAACUCAAUCAUACAUAGCUCAAAAUUGUCUAGUGCAAAAUUGAAUUAGCAAAAUUGGGUUCUGGCCUUGGACUAGAAAUUUAGGGAGUUCUAAAUUGGCCUGAAAACUUGCUAGGCCAAAGCCAAAGUUUCGGCGUUGGACCAAGCGCUAUGAGCAUUUCAAUCUCAAACUCCAAAUUGGGUACUUAUCAUACACUUUUUGAUAGUUAGUUGUUGGGUUUGUAAGAUGAUGUAAUAAUGAUAAUUAAUUGCGUAGACUUAAAUUAAAGCUACGAGGGUUCCAUUUCUGAGGAUGGUCUAGACGAGUGGCGAUGUCCCGGCAUUUCCUCUUUGGACUAUAACAUAGUCAUAAAACUCGUUUUAACUGUUAAUGUUUAAAGUAACCCAUGAAAAGUAAGAUCCCAAAUACACCACGAAACAAAUGGUCUAUUAUUAACAAUAUUAGAUCGAUUCUAUGUAGUAACCAAAAACUAUCGGAGAGAGCGUCUACCGACUAGAUAGCAUCAGCAGUUACAACAUAUAAUAUAAUAUUGUGGGUACAAAAUAAGAUGUCACUCGCCAUCUUACCUUUAUGUGUCAACAGUUAUGUCAAAAGUACGAUUUUAGUCCUUAUUUCAAAGGUGAGCCGUACUUUCGACAGACAGUUGACAUAUAGUUAUGAUAUAUAUAUAUAUAUACAUAUAUGUUAGUUUUGCAUAAUAAUUUCUGUUGAAUGAGCGGACUUGUAGUUUAUACUAAUAAUAUAAAGAGGAAAGAUUUGUUUGUAUGAAAUCGAUAAACUCUUGAAACUACUGAACCGAUUUUAGUAAUUCUUUCACCAUUAGAAAGCUACACUUAUCAAAUUUUUAUUAAAUAAAUAACAAAACUUUAAUCUUAUCAAAGAAGUAUGUUCCAGUUUUUUCCCUAUUCUGAUAUCAACAUUAUACAUAAAUGUUAAUGUUGCUACCUAGUCAGUGGACGCUCUACUUUGAG